UUUUGGUGGAUUUGCGAGAGAGUUUCGCCGGUGGUAGCGUUUUGUGAGUUGGUGAAGAUGACGAGGAGGGUUUUGAUUUGUGAGCGGCUGAGAGGGUUAUCGGAGACGGAGUAGGGUGAACGGCGGAGGGUGGUGGGCGAUUUGUGAGUGAUGGGUUGUUUUUUCUGAGAGAGGGAGAGUGAAUGAGCUGGCGUGAGGGAGUUGUUUGCUGAGAGGAGUAUUUGAGUAGAGGGAAAUGUGAGUGAGGUAGUUCUUUUUUGUUUUUU
rnacentral:lncRNA from 1 species